AGAUUGAACGCUGGCGGCAGGCCUAACACAUGCAAGUCGAGCGGUAGAGAGGUGCUUGCACCUCUUGAGAGCGGCGGACGGGUGAGUAAUGCCUAGGAAUCUGCCUAGUGGUGGGGGAUAACGUUCGGAAACGGACGCUAAUACCGCAUACCGUCCUACGGGAGAAAGCGGGGGACCUUCGGGCCUCGCGCCAUUAGAUGAGCCUAGGUCGGAUUAGCUUAGUUGGUGAGGUAAUGGCUCACCAAGGCGACGAUCCGUAACUGGUCUGGAGAGGAUGAUCAGUCACACUGGAACUGAGACACGGUCCAGACCUCCGUACGGGAGGCAGCGAGGUGGGGAAUACGUAGGACAAGUGGGACGAAAGCCUAGACUCCAGCCAGUCGCCGGCGUGGUGGUAGAAGG
rnacentral:rRNA from 1 species